rnacentral:rRNA from 1 species
UACGAAGGGUGCAAACGUUGCUCGGAAUCAUUGGGCGUAAAGCGCACGUAGGCGGUUUAACAAGUUGGAUGUGAAAGCCCUCGGCUCAACCAAGGAAGUGCAUCCAAAACUGUUAGACUUGAGUACUAAAGAGGAUCGUGGAAUUCCCGGUGUAGAAGUGAAAUUCAUAGAUAUCGGGAGGAACAUCUGUGGCGAAGGCGACGAUCUGGGUAGAUACUGACGCUGAGGUGCGAAAGCGUGGGGAGCAAACAGG